AUCAUUUUUGAUUUUGGUGAGGCUGCUCUGAUAAGCUUUCAGUAUGAAAGACUUAGGAGAAUCUGUAGUAGCUGCUUCAGAAUGACUCAUCACAGGAACUCAUGUCCUUACCGUCAGAUUGAGCCUCUCCAUAGGGUGACUAACUCCACUGCUCAAAGGAAUGUUAGAGAAGAGGUGUUCAUGAGAGAUGAAAAUCUGAGAUCUUCAAUGAAUUCACAAUCUCAGAUGUCUGAGAGUUCGUUUCCUACUCCUAUCGAUCCACCUCCAAGGAUUCCUCAUCCUCCUUUAAAUCCUGAUGAAUUGGUGGCUGCAUAUUACCCUCAUACAAGAGCUACUUCUUUACCAAACUUUGCAGGUCCUUUGCCUCAGGUACCUCUUAGAAAAAAUGUGGAUGAAAGGGAUUCUAACAUCCAGCCUUUCUCCGGACCUGCAUUUGCAGCACACUCUCCACGCCUAGUGGAAGUAGGUGAAUCAUCAAGGCAAGGUGAGAAUACUCAGAAUGUUCACACGGUGGAAAAGGGGGAUUCAUCAAAAAGAAAGAACAUGGGUGGUCCCAGGUUUAAAGAUGAUGCAAGAAAGUCCAAUGAAGAUGAGCAUAUGAAUGGAGGGAUUCUGAAACCUCCAAAAAAGCGUUGAUCACUCUGCUAUAAUUCUGUCAUGUUUUUUAAUUUAGUUGCUUUCAGUUCAAUCAAGCAGCCACAAGAUAUGAAGAAGAUGGUAUGGCCUAGUAUCCCUUUUUGGUUUUGGCAUACCCGAAGUGUAAUGUUAUGUGGUGUAAUGCUCUACUCUAAUUACCCUUACUCUACUCUUUUGUUUUACAACUUAGAUGACUCUCUAGUUAGAUAAUCUAAUGUUGUAAGUGGUAAAAGUGUGUGUCAAACUCUGAAAGUGGAUGUUCUUCCACUGUUGGAUCGUUUACAACUGCUGUUUUUAAUAAAAAGGGUAAUACUUAUGAGAAAAAAAAAAGACAUCUCUAACGAUCAAAAGACUGGACACCAGGUUCAGUUUGUUUUCACAGUAAAUGCAAUUUAACCAUCAAUUUUUUUCACUAAUUUUUGACUCUUCCUCAGAAAAGGUAGGAUGAUAGGAUGAUAAGUAAAC
rnacentral:sRNA from 1 species